ensembl:lncRNA
UUGAGUGCAGAAGAUAAAGUUAAAAAUGGUGGAGUCUGGAGCUGUCUCUAAUUCUUGUAUUGUUUGGGAGAAGAAAUUAUAUCCUUCCUCCCAGAAAACUGUAAGUAGUUUGCAUUGCUCAUUUUAUGCUUUCAGCAUUUUAAGGAGGGGAAAAAAAAAAAAAAAAGAAGUUGUGCCCUUAGUCUGUUCUUGGGUAGGGAACAGAGAAGCCUUGGAAAUAGCUGUGACAGCCAAGGGACACAGGUGGCAAAAGCUGUGAGAGGCAUGGCUGGUGCAUGGUUUGAGCUGGAGUGGUCAGUGCUUCCCUGCCCCACCUGGGCUCAGGGGGCACCAUCUGGGUCACUCCUUCCCUGACCUGAUGGGUGGCACUGUCACAUCAGGGAUGCUCUUACCUGUGGGGCAGUAACAGCGAGGAGUAUUCAGAGGUGGGCUGGGGUCUCUCACUGCUCUGAGGAGUGUACACGUGUGUUGGUGACACUGAGCAGCAGAAGUACAGAUUGUGCUGGGUCAGAUUUUGGGGAGUUAUUUUCCAGCAGACACUUGUGCUGUUGGGGAACUUGUGCUGGCACUUGCUGAUCCAAACGUGGAAGAGCAGCAUAGUUCACAACCUACCUGUAUCUAGUUUAAUGGCAAACCCGUCCUCACCUCCCAGCAUUAUGGUGUGAAACAUGAGCUCUCCUUUCAAAGCUUAUUAAACCCAAUUGUGAAAUGUAAAAUUUGCUCUAGUGGUAUCUGUUGAAUUGUGAAGAUUGGCCUCUCUUGCAAAAAGACAAAUGGUUGGGAUUGGGGCUGUUUUUCUCUUAGAAAGAGGUAAGUCUCUUCUGGUCUGAGUCUGAACACUUGAGAGGAAGUGUCAUAAAGAGCUUGCUUUUUUUCUAAUGUUUGAGCUGAAAACACCAUUAUGUUACAUAGAAAAUUAAGGCUAUUUCAGAGACAGGAUAGACAGUGUCUGUUCAUUCUUUCCUUGCCUAUUUUUUUGCUACACUUUUAUUAUCAACCAUUCAGUUCUUGCCACCGAUUUAACAACUCUUUGUUACUAGCAUGUAAUGAAAAGCUUUUUGCCAUAAAAGAGGGCAAUGUUAUCAGAACAUAGAACCCCAUUCAUCUGUUCGUUUUCUUGUGGUAGUGUGUGUAAGCCAGAUUUAUUGAUACUGUGCUUUGAAUGACAACUGAAGUGGUGGGGAUUUUUUCGGUCACAUAAAAAGAUAAAGAUGCACUAAUAUGCUUUAAUUAUUGAAUAGUAAGCUGCUUCACUUGUAAGGAAGUUUGCUCAAGAACAAAGAAACAAGAACCAAAGCUUAUGAGAAUCUUGGUCAAGCUUGGAAAGCUAUUGAAAGAUAUCUAUUACAUACACACACAUGUAUAUCUAUCUUGAAUACUUGCAUGAAGGAUGACAAAGUAAUGCAGAAUAGAAUGUCUUUUAGUCUCUCCAAAUCAACUUCUAUCUAUUUCAUAUUUGAAAUAAUUAAUUUUAAGCUGAACAGAAUUUCUCAGUUUAGUAUCAGAAAAAGUCUAAAGUCCAAUUUAGGUUCACUGAUGUAAGUGAAAUACCUAAGCCUCUUUUGUAUGUACAGUUGAUAAACUGUUGUUGUUUUGCAGAAACCUCUAUGAAUGUGCUGUGCAGUGGCAAGUUUGCCAUAUUGGAACCAGCUCCACCAGCCCUAGUGAUUUUUGUCUGAGAUAUACUAGAAAUAGGGUUUUGCUGUUUGUGUGAGGGUAUCCUAUAAUACAAUUGUUAUUUGUUAAAGCAUUGCUUAGAAAUCUUAAGGAACACACUACUAGCUGUUGGACUUGAAUUUGUUAUAUUUAUGGCUGGAGACAGAUUCACUGUGGCUUUCUACAAAAAUCCCAAUAUGCUGUUCAAAGUUGUUCUCUUUAAACCCUUUGAAAACAUCCACAUAGUCAUUUAUAUUAUCUAGGUCACAACUGCCUUCAGUUUGGAUUUCAUGUGGUAGCAUUUAGCUACAGGGUUUUUCACUGCUCAGCCAUUUGCUGUAUAACCCACUCCUUUACGAGGAGAGACUUCAAAAUCAGAUCUGAGAUGAUUUCUCCUUUGCAUUGCUGCCUUAAGCAUAAUGGGAACUAACCACUAAUGUAAGAAAUUUAAUAGGGGAGUACAGUCAGAUUUUGCCAAGGUCCUUAAACUGUCAGUGUAUUGUGACUCAAACUGAGUAUUUGCAUGAUUUUCAACAUUAUGAUGGAAAGGCAUUAAAAGGGGAGGGAGGUGUAAAAUGCUUCACAUCACAGCCUCAGGCUUUUUUUGUCAUCCACAGUAAGACCAGCAGUUAAGUUUAGGUAUUUUGGGGAACUUCUUGAGUGCUGGAGAUUCAUUUGGCUGAGAUAGCUUACUCAUGCAAGAGUCCAGUAGAUGGGAGGCGGUUUUGUCUGGGUCAAAAAGACUAAGGCUUAGGGUCUGAUAGACAAGAUAUAUCUUUUAUUAUACAAUAAAGAAUAUUAUGUGCUGUAAAUUAAGGCA